GCGAUCUGUAAAUUUAGAAACGGAUAAUGAAUGAUUCCGCUCGCUACGACGUCUAAGUAUAGGUAGAUACUUAGAAGAUUCGUCGACAGUUUGUUACUGGAAUGAUCGUCAGAGAAAAAGAGAGAGAUCUCGUACCAUCAGACCAUAGGAUUAUUACAUAACUACUUGUAGCGCUCAUUACAAGAUCAAUUGUAGAUGCAUGUGUUAAAAAACGAACCGUAAAUGCGGAAAAUCUUCCACUGUGUAAUACCGAUAACUUGCAACUGGAGCGAUCAAUGUCACGUCAAUGUUCUAUGGCUUGAGGGUGGAAGGACAAAUAUCAUAUAUUGGAAUAUACGGAUUGACGUCAUAUUAUUCACGGUGUCAAGAUUUUCCGAGAUGCAGAAGGACGUCGGUUAUUUUAGGUCUCUGCAAUAUACGGAGAUUGAUGUACACAAAUGCAUUCUCUGCACUCGAACUAUCAUCAUUGUGCCGUUUACUUUUACGAUAUAAAACAGUCGAGUUGGAUACAUACAAAUAAAAAAUUGUUAAAAAAGCAAAUUUUGAGAGACUCGACGACGUGUCGUUGAAAAACAGAUUUCAGUAUAGCAAUGCGGAGAUGGAAUCCGGCGGAAUGAUAGAAUUUGGCUGUUUUCAAGAAGCUCUUAUGAAACAAGAGAUUCAGGGUGAUGUAUAGACAUGCAGGUAGAUACAUAUAUCAAUUAAGGAUUUCAGCCAAAAAUAAAGGAAAUAGCAAAACAAGCAUAAAAUGUUAGACUGCUGCUUUGGUAAAACACAAAUUCGAGUUCACCGACCCUUUCAUGGUGCGCGCACCACGUCUAAUCCCGUUUCCAAGCUGGGAAAACGCGCGUAGGACGGCUAUACGUCGGUUGAAUCAUCGAAAUAAUGGUGCGGUCGCAUCGGCCGUGUGUGUUAAGUCGACGAGGGAAAUGGAGAAAACCAGCUUUUAGAUUCUUCCGCAACAGUUCGCGUACUUUUCAGUCAUUUCGUCAACGUCAAACUGUAUCAAGAUUUAAAAUCGUUAUGCGUGCACGGUGUGAUAGUAUCGGCAGAAAAGGUUUCUCUUGGAAAAAAGAAUUCGAAUUCUCUCGAUAUUGCUUCUUUAUUGUUUGAGGAUGACUCUUCUACGAGACUCUAUAUUUGCCAUUUUUAUUUGGAAGAUGUGAAGGGAUACAUAAAGUUGAAGCGAUUGAAGGAAAGUCUCUUAUUAAGCGUACAAAAAUAAAAAGAAAUACAAGAUACGCUUUCAUUGUAUUGCACCAUUUCCCGAGUUACCGUCGUUGCUGCGUUCUGCGAAAGUAAAAUAUCGUGGUCGACAGCAUCGAGUCGAAUCCACAUGUACGAAAAAGCCGCACCGUCUAACCGAAUUUAUCAAGGCUGCAUGAGGUUGCCUGUUGUGUAGAUGCUCAAGACUUGCAUUCGCAAAAAAAUCCGCAUGCACACGCACGCACGCACGCACGCAUACACGCAUGCACGUAUUAUUAGAAUUAUUAAUUAGAAAUGCAAGGGACACGCGAGAUCGCACGACUUGAAAAAUAAAUAUUCCAAAUAACAAUAAUAAAUGCCAAAUGUUCGCCAGCGUCUGGUAGCAAUUUAACAGAAAUAAACGCAGUAUACAUGAUAUAUCCGCAUCGCGCGAAAGAAAGAGUUUCGUGCGACUGUAUUUUAAAUACGUUUUCCAACGGAUUAUUAAUAAACGAAAAUAAGUGUGUGACACAAAAUACGUUGUUGCAAAUCUAUAUAACGGAUUUUCGACAAAUUAAUGAACUUUCACGCCUCACGUGUGAUAUGUAACAAUUAUCGGUUAGUUGGAGUUACGGAGUUAAAUUGCAAUUAAGGGUGAGAACGAAGAAGUGGCUCGGCUUUAGUCGAGACUAUUGUACAAAGAUAAUACGCAGAAGUAGCAUUACAGAACGUUUUACUAUCUUAUAAAAUUGUCAGCCGUCACGGAAGCGUAAUAAUAAGAAACAAUUAUCACAAAUAUGUUUGUAACGUUUACAUAAAGCUACUUUUGUAUCGACGAAAAAUACGACGAGAAAUGGCAUCACCCACAAGCCGCAGCGCGGAGCAUCGACGAUCAAUUCGAGCCUCAAUCAUGUCAAUCCAAAGAACGAUGAGAUAAUGAAAAGUGAAGAUUGGACGAUACAAUAGGUCUGUCCUAUCUCUACUGCACGUUUUCCUGCAAUUGCCACUCUCUCGAAAGAUCAGUUUUAUAUUCAGAUGUAUUUAUUUCAAUAUUAUUUUAUAAUAUUGAUAUUUCGGCUUUCGGCUCGAAGUAGAAUUGACGCAAAGUGAAUAAAAGAAUCUCGAUUCGUAUUUUAGGAAUAACCAUGUAUCCUUGGUGGC
rnacentral:lncRNA from 1 species